CAAUAACCCACCUAAUCACAACCCUUUAUUAAUCUAAUCAAUCAACUCUUGUUGAUUAAUUAAUUUUUUUUUUCUUCUAUCCCAUUGUAUAAUAAGAGUGAUGAUACCAAAGCAAAGCGAUGUUAAAGAAAUGGGUAGAGGUGAGGAAGCCUUGUCAAUGUUGAUGAGCGUGGUAUUUAGGAGGAGCAUUAUAAUGAUUCAACAAGUUGCAUAUUUUUGGAUGGGCAUGCUUUCAAUUCUAAAUUCCACACCACCAUUUUCAUUUAAUUACACAAAUUCUAGGUGGGAGUGGGACGAUCCCAUGUCAUCUCGCCAACAUCGGUAGCUAGGUAAUUACCAUUAUUAUUAUUAUUAUUAUUAUUAUUAUAUAUAUAUAUAUAUAUCAACUCAUCAGACGUACGUUUGGUUUUCAUAUUCUUGUUUUUUAGUUGGAAGAUCCUUCCCAGGCUACUUCUUUUGAUUGUUUCGGAAUAAUAUUCUUCAGUCUUUUGACUGAUUACCAAUAAUAAUAAUAAUAAUAAAAAUAAAAAUAAUAAUAGUAUUGGUGAUGCUAUUCUUAGUUAUGUUUGUACGUGUUAAUUACUUCAAAUUGAUUUAAUAUAGUUUUAACAUAUUUGAAUUUAUCCCAGCAUUUCAGAUUUGAGGUUGUUUUCAGAAAUCUCUAUGAUUUCAUUUGACUUGGGAUAUAUAAAAAAUAAACUAGAUGGAUGGUUGGAUGGAUUUCCAAGUGUGGAUUUUUAGCUUAUAUGAUUUGAUUGAUAAAUUAAGUACCAACGUAAGCAUGAAACUAUGAACUAUCUUGUGAAUAUAUAGAUGGAUCUAUAGAGCUUCUUCUACUACUAGUACAUGCAUGGACUGGUGUGAGUUGCGAGUCCAGUUUCCCAAUUCAUUUUCACGGUUUAUGUUGGUUGAUUAAAAAACCAUACGUAUGAAUUAAGCGACCGAGUAAAAUAAAAUUAAAGUAUGAUCAAAUUAAGUUUUAUUUAUUUAUUUAUUUAUCAACACCACGAAUACAUUAAUUGAGUUAUCAUUGAAGCAAGCAUCUGCCACAAAUACCAGCAACUCUAAGAGACAAAACAAUCAAAUUGAUCUUCGAGUUAAUAGAUCUAGGAUAGUAAAACCCCACAAACGCUCUCCCAUCUGGUUGCCUGGCUGGCUAUCCCCAUCAACUUGCUCAAUUACUACUAACAUCAUCAUUGCCAAAGAUAAUAAAUAAUAAACAAACCAAACUUAUGGACUGGCUAAUUAAUUAUGUUGAUGCUAAUUAGUUCCGGAAAUCAUGAAACAAAUUGUUUUGGUAUAAUCACUAGACAAAAUUAAUAAUAGCUUCUUUGAAGGGAAAGAGGCCAUUAAUAGAUGCAGCCGAUCAUUCAUACUACCAACUGAGUAAUACUACAAAACAACCAUGAAAGAGCAGCGAGAGACAACGAGUUGUUGACUCCUCGCAUCCAGCAUACUUCCUGCAACAGAUUGAAGCACAUACGUAUUUUACAUCUGAAAUUCUAUAAACGGCAACUGUGUAUACAUAAUGCUGUUAAAUAUGGUAGGCAAUGAACGAGACAUCUUUAUCAACAAUUCAACACUAAAACUAAAGUAGUGAAUAGAUAGAUAACUGAGAUGAUAGAUUUGGAUGUUCAAGUUUCUGUAAUUGCAUAAAGAAGAACCUACCAUAUUCAGAUCUUUGACAUCGCGUAGUCCAUAACAUCCACAAAGUAGUCUACAACAAAGACCUAACAAGCAUCAGUAUGGACUCUAGUAGCGAGUGUAGAGGAGAUCAGAAUUAAUUGAGAUGUUAAGAACAAAGCAUCAUGUGAACUGAUCAACAACAUUACAUAACUAAAGAACCUACCUGCAUCCUCCUUGGUAAAGCAGAGUGGAGGUGUUAUUCUGAAUACGUUUCCAUAGAAACCACCUUUCCCCACCAAUACCCCCAUAUCUACAACAACAUUGAUUUUACUCUCAUAAGACUUGAUAUAUAAUAAAAUGUAAAAAGUAUACAAAUAUAUAUAAUAUAUUUAUACUAUACCCUUCAUUUGAUCCAUAACAUGUAUAAUUUCUGUAUUUGCAGGAGUUUUCAGUUGGCGAUCAGUGACAAGUUCAACACCCAACAUCAAGCCUCUUCCUCUCACAUCUCCAAUAACUGCAGAUAUAUCCAUCAUUGUUAUAACAACAGCAAUAACCUAGCGUAAUAGCACUAAAUGUGG
rnacentral:lncRNA from 1 species